rnacentral:rRNA from 1 species
GGAAUUUUGGACAAUGGGCGCAAGCCUGAUCCAGCAAUGCCGCGUGAGUGAAGAAGGCCUUCGGGUUGUAAAGCUCUUUUGUCAGGGAAGAAACGGGUCUUUCUAAUACAGAGAUCUAAUGACGGUACCUGAAGAAUAAGCACCGGCUAACUACGUGCCAGCAGCCGCGGUAAUACGUAGGGUGCAAGCGUUAAUCGGAAUUACUGGGCGUAAAGCGUGCGCAGGCGGUUUUGUAAGACUGUCGUGAAAUCCCCGGGCUCAACCUGGGAAUGGCGAUGGUGACUGCAAGGCUAGAGUUUGGCAGAGGGGGGUAGAAUUCCACGUGUAGCAGUGAAAUGCGUAGAUAUGUGGAGGAACACCGAUGGCGAAGGCAGCCCCCUGGGUCAAAACUGACGCUCAUGCACGAAAGCGUGGGGAGCAAACAGGAUUAGAUACCCGAG